AAGACCACAAAGGGAAAGUACCACCCUCAUAACUUCAGAACAAGGGUACAUACUGUUCACGUGGUUUAUCACUGUUGACGUGGAUCUGCAUCACAAGGCUAGUAUUUGCCAGAUUCCUGACCAAAGUGGUGUUUGCCAGAUUUCUCCACUGUAAAGUUAUAUUUCAGCCCCCUUUCCAUACGGUAUCCUUUGGAAGGAAGUCACCAUGCAUAGCCCACACUUGACAAGGUUUCCCAAUGGAAGCCAUGGUUACUGUAAGCAGAGUUCUAAGGUGGGUGACAAUGUCAAAGAUGGCCGGCUACAUGUGUGAAGGACUAGACGGCUUGUCAGAGAUCUAGGGAGAUCUACCUACAGCUAGUUGUCUCCCCAGCAGAAUGAGUAAUACCUGGGCUGAAGGGAGGUUGAAGAUGCAAGAGACAGAAGAGAACUAAUGAAUGAGACUCCUUGGAUGGUGAAGAGUGAUGCGAUCCACAGGAGAAUGGGAGAUGUGGUCUUUGACAAUUUUCAAAGACUGGAAGCAGUAGCAGGAUGAAGAUGCAGAAUGGUUUGUAGAAGGAUGAAGGGAAAAGAGGCAGCAUGGUGGAACGUUUAGGAGUCAGACUGUGAAGACGGGCUCAAAUCCAGCUUCUUCCACUUGCUGAAUUUGGUUAAAUGCUGCUCUCUGAACUUCAAUUUCUUCAUCAGUGACAUGGAAGCAAAGUGUUACCUAUAACAUAGAUUCGUGAAUUUUUAAAAGAGUUAACACUUUAUAAGAGCACUUAAAAAUAUCUGGCACCUACCAAGUGCUGUAUGGGUGGUUGUUGUCAUUCAGUUGCUCAGUGUAUCCAACCCUGUGACCGCAUGGACUAAAGCAUGCCAGGCUUCCCUGCCCUUCACCAUCUCCCAGAGUUCGCUCAAACUCAUGUCCAUUGAGUUGGUGAUGCUAUGUUUAUGUUAUUGUGAGAGGAUAAAGAAGGUCCUGUGUGAUGGUUUCUACUUUAUGCAAGAACUGGGAUGAAGAUGAAAAAGCUGUUAACCUUUCCAAAAUGCAGAAUCAUGUAAACAAUGAGAGCACCUUUUUGCUGUUAAAUUGCUCAUGAUGUAAAGACUGUAAUACCCACUGUGCAUGAUGGAGGGGUGAAUCAGGCCUACACCUCCACAUCUGGUGAAAGCAUAACGUGUACAUCCUCUUCAGGAGGCAAUUCGGUUCUAUGAAUCACAAGAUUUUAUUAUGCCAAUAACACAGAGGUCCUCAGAGGAGGGGUGUGUGCUGUACAGAGCAGGUGGAAAGUCCUGCCACUGAGAAAGCCAGCUACUUACAUUUGACUCCAUCCCCAGUCCCCUGACUGGUGAAACUCCGAGUCUUCUCUGUGGCUCCUGUUAAUUCCCAGGUUUAUGCUCUGCAUGUAAUUGGCCUCGGGCUACCAUGUUUGUAUGCUGUCUUUAUUUCUCUUUCCAACAAUUUGGCUUCUUCACAAGUCUCCGAAAGAAAUCCACACAGAAGGAGGGGGGUCUUGGAGCCCACAGUCUUAUAUUUUAUUUCUCUCUCAUAUUCUCUGUCCCCACCCCCAACCGCUCCACCGAGUCUCCGUCCUGCCAUUGCCGCUGGGGAUUCAAAAUUCUCUAUUGUGCAGAGCACUUCAACUCUCCCAAAUUUCUAAUUCCAAUAUUGCACAGUAAGCCCUUCAGAACAUCCUGGAGAGUACUGUAAGACCAACUGUGUUCUUACAAGGGUCAUCAAUGACAAAAUUUUACUACUGCUUCAGCUAUUCCAUGUCUAGAGUUGCUGCUGCUGCUGCUAAGUCGCUUCAGUUGUGUCUGACUCUGUGCGACUCCAUAGACGGCAGCCCACCAGGCUCCCCCAUCCCUGGGAUUCUCCAG